UUUAGAAACACAAUAUUCAUAUGUGACUGUAUUACAGAAGUAAUGGUGUCGGUGUCGACCUGGGGCACUGCUGAAGUUAGUGACUGGCUAACAAGAAUAGGACUACACAACUAUGUUCAAGUUUUUAUAGACAAUGAAAUGGAAGGGCAAGACAUUAUAGACAUCAACGAGAAGAUGAUAGGGAAGCUGAUUCCUCCAGUGGGAAAACAACUUCUCUUCUUUCGGGAGCAGGCUACUUUGAAGGACCCAACUAGUCUUUCAGUGCUGGAUACCCAACCUAAAGGUGGAAGAACGUCACAGCCAACUCAUGACGCAGUGGAAGCAAGAGCAAGUACUCCAGUGAGCAGUAUAUGUGGAGAGCCAUCGUUAUCAUCUCUAACAGACACUUUACUGUCUGAUGAGGAGGAAGUCUCUCAGCCACCUUCCACAGUUAUCAAUGACGAGACCUCUGGUGACCUUUGGAAUGAUUUGCAGAAUUACAAACUGCCUCUUUUUCCGCCAUGCGUAAAGACCCUCUUACAAACAAGAAAAAGUCCACAAGAUUACCUGCCUGGAACUUCAAACAGAAGAAGAAUCAUUGAGGUCCUUACAUGUGACCUACAAAAGAGGAAUAUCCUGACACCUUCAAAACAGGGAUACACCAACCUACUAGAUGCCCUGUUUAGUGAAUAUCCACACAUUGGAGACCCAAAAUGUUGGAGGAUGUCCCUUCGUACCAAGAUGAAAAACAUUCGAGUGCCACUAACAUCACACAACACUGUGAAAAUUCUUAAAGAAAAAUUUGGCUGUCCAGUAACAGGAGGUCGGAAAAGUACGGCAUUGUCAGAAAAGGAAGAAGUUCAACCACGCAAGAAAAGGCAAAAGCU